AUCGCUUUUCGGCCCUUUUGGCUAAGAUCAAGUGUAGUGUCUGUUCUUAUCAGUUCAAAAAUAAAUAUUAAAAAAAAAAAUUUUUUUAAACUGGUCUGACAAAUGGUAAAUCUGGUUUUUGACUUUCUCACAUAAUAUUAGACAUUAG
rnacentral:snRNA from 1 species